rnacentral:miRNA from 1 species
UAAUACGAUUAUGAGGCAAGCU